GCUUCCAACACACUCCUCUUUACUCUCAAACACUCUUUCUCCCCUCCUCCUUUCUAAUUUUCGGACUCCCACAAUAAGGGCAGAAAAACUGCCCUAAAACACUACUUUCAAGCAUCAAAUCUACAUCUUUGAGUCACCAUCUAGUAAGGGAACAAUGAAAGGUCAAGAUCAAGGAUCUUAGAGGUCUCCAAGUGCACAAAAACAGCCCUCAAGUGGGGCUGAUCGGCAGCAGCAGCAGGAGGAAGGAAAACAGCCCCAUGCUUCUAUUUUCUUUUGAUUCUUGAUCAUCAAAGGCUUGUUACAGCCAUGAAACACUCCAAGGGCAGCCAUGAAAUGGAGACCCAACAACACUCUUGAUCUUCUUGUUUUGAUCUUCAAAGGGAUAGUCUUGGCUUGAAAUAUGAUGGAGGAACA